UGAAGCGGCAAAAGCUCAAAUUUGAAAUCUGGCACCUUCGGUGUCCGAGUUGUAAUUUGAAGAAGGUAACUUUGGAGUUGGCUCUUGUCUAUGUUCCUUGGAACAGGACGUCACAGAGGGUGAGAAUCCCGUGCGAUGAGGUGCCCAAUUCUAUGUAAAGUGCUUUCGAAGAGUCGAGUUGUUUGGGAAUGCAGCUCUAAGUGGGUGGUAAAUUCCAUCUAAAGCUAAAUAUUGGCGAGAGACCGAUAGCGAACAAGUACAGUGAUGGAAAGAUGAAAAGAACUUUGAAAAGAGAGUGAAAAAGUACGUGAAAUUGUUGAAAGGGAAGGGCUUGAGAUCAGACUUGGUAUUUUGCGAUCCUUUCCUUCUUGGUUGGGUUCCUCGCAGCUUACUGGGCCAGCAUCGGUUUGGAUGGUAGGAUAAUGACUAAGGAAUGUGGCUCUACUUCGGUGGAGUGUUAUAGCCUUGGUUGAUACUGCCUGUCUAGACCGAGGACUGCGUCUUUUGACUAGGAUGUUGGCAUAAUGAUCUUAAGCCACCCGUCUUGAAACACGGACCAAGGAG
rnacentral:rRNA from 1 species